rnacentral:rRNA from 1 species
GUGAGGAAUUUUGGACAAUGGGGGAAACCCUGAUCCAGCGACGCCGCGUGAAGGAUGAAGGUCUUCGGAUUGUAAACUUCUUUUAUUUGGGACUAAGAAAUCUGGUGAAAAUCAGAGAGUGAAUGUACCAAGUGAAUAAGCCACGGCUAACUUCGUGCCAGCAGCCGCGGUAAUACGAAGGUGGCAAGCGUUACUCGGAAUUACUAGGCGUAAAGGGCAGGUAGGUGGUUCGAUAAGUCUGUUGUGAAAGCUCCCGGCUUAACUGGGAGAGGCCAACGGAAACUAUCGAACUUGAGUAUGGGAGAGGGUACUGGAAUUCCCGGUGUAGCGGUGAAAUGCGCAGAGAUCGGGAGGAACAUCAAUGGCGAAAGCAGGUACCUGGACCAUUACUGACACUCAACUGCGAAAGCUAGGGGAGCAAACAGGAUUAGAAACCCCUGUAGUCC